AGUUUUGCACCUUAUUUUAUACAUUACAAUCAAAGGAGGAGGAAAAAGAGGGUUACAUGAAAUUCAUUAGUGAUAGAUUAAGGAGGUGGGAUUAAGAAAA